rnacentral:rRNA from 1 species
GACGAACGCUGGCGGCGUGCUUAACACAUGCAAGUCGAACGGUAAGGCCCUUCGGGGUACACGAGUGGCGAACGGGUGAGUAACACGUGGGUGAUCUGCCCUGCACUUCGGGAUAAGCCUGGGAAACUGGGUCUAAUACCGGAUAGGACCCUGGGAUGCAUGUCCUGGGGUGGAAAGCUUGUGCGGUGUGGGAUGGGCCCGCGGCCUAUCAGCUUGUUGGUGGGGUGAUGGCCUACCAAGGCGACGACGGGUAGCCGGCCUGAGAGGGUGACCGGCCACACUGGGACUGAGAUACGGCCCAGACUCCUACGGGAGGCAGCAGUGGGGAAUACUGCACAAUGGGCGCAAGCCUGAUGCAGCGACGCCGCGUGAGGGAUGACGGCCUUCGGGUUGUAAACCUCUUUCAGCACCGACGAAGCGCAAGUGACGGUAGGUGCAGAAGAAGGACCGGCCAACUACGUGCCAGCCGCCGCUGUAA